ACCCCUGAGCAACGCCGGGUAUGGCCCAAAAAACAAAACAAAACAGAGAUUAGCAUGGCCCCUGCGUAAGGAUGACUCUCAAAUUCGUGAAGCUUUCCAUAUUUUU